rnacentral:rRNA from 1 species
CCUACGGGAGGCAGCAGUGAGGACUAUUGGUCAAUGGACGAGAGUCUGAACCAGCCACGUAGCGUGAAGGAUGACUGCCCUAUGGGUUGUAACCUUCUUUUAUAAAGGAAUAAAACGCGGCACGUGUGCCUUUUUGCAUGUACUUUAUGAUUAAGGAUCGGCUAACUCCGUGACAGCAGCCGCGGUAAUACGGAGGGUCCGGUCGUUAUCCGGAUUUAUUGGGUUUAAAGGGAGCGUAGAUGGGUUGGUAAGUCAGUUGUGAAAGUUUGCGGCUCAACCGUAAAAUUGCAUUUGAUAAUGGCAGUCUUGAGUACAGUUGAGGUAGGCGGAAUUCGUGGUGUAGCGGUGAAAUGCUUAGAUAUCACGAAGAACCCCGAUUGCGAAGGCAGCUUACUAAACUGUGACUGACAUUGAUGCUCGAAAGUGUGGGUAUCAAACAGGAUUAGAUACCCGAGUAGUC